UCCCUGGUGGCUCAAAUGGUAAAGCAUCUGCCUACAAUUCAGGAGACCCAGGUUUGAUCCCUGGGUUGGGAA
rnacentral:tRNA from 1 species